rnacentral:lncRNA from 1 species
AUGGGCUUCCUGGAGAGAUGGGGCACCCUGGCCCCCCAGAACCACCUGGCCCAGCAAGGCAGCCUGGGCCCCUCACCAAACAGCAGCCCCUGGGGCGCCCUCUACUCCCUGCAACCACCUACAGACAAAGACAGUAAGUGUGGCUUGUGGGGAGCCAGGGGCGUGACAGUAUCUGCUUGCGGGGGCUGCAGCGGGGCCCAGGGUGAUGAGAGGAGCCCCCUGGGCUCCAUGUGGCCUGGCUCAGGGCUCAGUGCCCCCCAGCACUGCCAGCUCUGCCCUACCAGAGCCCUGGCCACUCUGCUCUUCCCACAGAUGGAGACUCAGGACUGGCCUCUGCUAUCGUGGACACAGUGCUGGUGGGUAUCCCAGGACCCCGGGGUCCCCCCGGCCCACCAGGUCCUCCCGGGCCACGAGGUCCCCCAGGACCACCUGGAUCCCAGCAGCCAGGCCUGACAGGGGAGAGACACAGCCCAGCCUGACCAACAUGGAGAAACCCCGUCUCUACUAAAAAUACAAAAUUAGCUGGACAUGGUGGCGCAUGCCUGUAAUCUCAGCUAACUCGGGAGGCUGAGGCAGGAGAAUCGCCUGAACCCAGGAGGCGGAGGUUGCGGUGAGCCGAGAUCAUACCAUUGCACUCCAGCCUGGGUAACCAGAGCAAAACUCUGUCUCAAAAAAAGGAAGAAAAGAAAAAGAAAGGGGAAAGACACUCCAGCCUUCACCCCACCUCCUGCCCCCCGCCCCAGGAGCAAGAGCACCUGACAGUCCUCCAAGUCCCCUGCACUGGCCGUCCCGGUCCCCUUCCAUCACGUGACCUGGCAGCUACAGUCUCCUUGCUCCUCCCCAGAGCCCCUAACCUUGGCUGUGGCCCAUCAGCUUCUCCAGGGAUGCCAGCAUCCAGGGCAGGAAUUGGAACCCGUCCCUCCUCCUGGGGAUUCUGGGGGUCGGGAGACUGGGGUCCACCCUUCAUUGCUGUGUGAUCUGAGCCAGCAGCCCCGGCUCUCUUUGCCUCCAUAAAGCUCAGUCGGGGUCGAGGCAGCGCUGUUGGGAGAAUAAACUGGUCUGAAGGAUGAGGCACCACGUGCGGCCCCGGCCUCACUGUCCAUUUGCUAAGUGAUCUCAGGCAAGUCACUUGCCAUCUCUGAGCCUCUGUCUCCACCUCAUUUGUGAUGUCUCCGCAGUGACCCUCCCGGUUUCAUGGGCCCUUCUAAAGACCAGAAAGGGGAGGGGCUGAAAUAAUUGGCCCUGGGUAGUCAAGAUGGCCUGGGCCAGCCAUCCAGGUCAUCAGAGGGCCGUGUCCUGCAGGGAGGUGGGGGGAGAGCCCCUUCUGCAGCCCAUAGAGGACCUGAGCCCAGGGGGCCUGGCCAGGAGCCUGGAUGCAGGGUCAGAGCCCUGAGCAGCAGAGUGUGCCCUGGGGACGCACCCGCUGGGGAGGAGCCCAGAGCAGGCCACUUUGUCCCCAGAUCCCAGGACUGACCCCCAGGCCCAGGGGCACUGUAGAACUGCUGAAGGGGCUACUCAGGGAGACCAUCUGCCUGUGCACCAUGGUCCCUCAGCCCAGCCCAGGGAGUCCCUGACGCCCCUCGGCCCUGGGGCCCACCCAGGUUCCCAGCAGGAAUCUCCACCCACCCUGAGCCCAUUUCAGGCACACAGCACCCCCUGCCUGCCUCUUUGGGGGCAGCAGGGACUCAGGGGGCCUGAGUACUGGCUUUCAGGGGGUUUAAAGGAAGGAGAAAGUCUCCGGGUCCCAGGCUGUGGGUCUCUGCUGCCUUUAACUCCUUGGUCCCUCAAGGAGAAACAGACAGGGCCACCUGUAGGCUGGUCCCAAGCAACCGUGUCUACUUUUGUUUUUCUGGAAAACCUUCUAAAGAUCACGUGCCAUAAAGGAUAUAUUUAUACCCACCCUUCCUCUCUCCUCUCUCCCUUUCUUCCCUUCCAUUCUCUCUCUCUCCCUAAUAGAUAUAGAGUCUUCUUGAUCUGUUGCCCAGGCUGGAGCGCAGUGGCAUGAUCAUAACUCACUAUAGCCUUCAACUCCUGAGCUCAGCCUCCUGAGUAACUGGGACUGCAGGCCUGUGCCACCACACUUGGCUAAUUUUCCUUAUUUUUUGUAGAGAUGAGGGUCUCGCUGUAUUGCCCAGGCUGGUCUCAAACUCCUGGCCUCAAGUGAGUCUCCUGACUCAGCCUCCCAAAGUGCUGGGAUGACAGGCGUGAGCCACCGCUUCUGGCCAGCACAGGGACUUUGAAGGUGUCUGAAGGACACUGCUUGAACCUUAGGGCCCAGGAGGACUUUCCUGAUGUGAGGAGGAGGAUAGGGCUGGGAGGGAGAGCACCCCAGUGCGGGUGACGUGCUCCCACUAAGGAGUGUGAUGGGGCACACGCAGAAUGGACAGCUGCAGUUCUCAUGGGGUGCACAUGCGUGUCCCCCCCGCCCCAGCCCGACUGGGACCUGACUGUCUGCCUCGUUCAACCCAGGUCCUCCUGCUAGAAGCAGCAGAACGGCCCUUGAGCCCAGACAAUGACCUGCCAGCCCCCCAGAGCACGUGUCCCCCCCGCCCCACCCCAACUGGGACCUGACUGUCUGCCUCGUUCAACCCAGGUCCUCCUGCUAGAAGCAGCAGAACGGCCCUUGAGCCCAGACAAUGACCUGCCAGCCCCCCAGAGCACCCCGCUGCCCUGGAACGAGUACUUCCUCCCUGACGCCAUCCCUCUCGCUCACCCGCGGCCACGACAGAGAAGGCCCACGGGCCCAGCUGGUGAGUGAGGGCUUCAGAGAGGACAGGCUGGAGCAGCCAAAGGGACCUCGGGCAUGGCCUCCCGAGGAAGGCCACACACGCAGCUCUCUGGUUCCUACAUGCCACGUGGCAUUUUGAAAAAUUAAGCUUAACUGUUGGAAACUGGGAAAUUUCACCUAAAAGCCAGGAAUUUUAGUUUCUUUUAAAAAGUAGGCCAUCUGGCCAGGCGCAGUGACUCACACCUGUAAUCCCAGCACUUUGGGAGGCUGAGAUGGGUGGAUCACCUGAGGUCAGGAAUUCGAGACCAGCCUGGCCAACAUGGUGAAACCCCGUCUCUACUAAAAAUACAAAAAUUAGCUGGGAGUGGUUGUGCACGCCUAGAAUCCCAGCUACUUGGGAGGCUGAGACAGGAGAAUCGCUUGUACCCCGGGAGGUGGAGGAUCCAGUGAUCUGAGAUUGCACCAUUGCACUCCAGUCUGGGGUACAAGAGUGAAACUCCAUCUAAAAAAAAAAAAAAAAGAAAAGGAAAGUAGAUUGUCUGGAGGGGAGUAAUGGCUCACACCUGUAAUCCCAGCACUUUGGGAGGUUAAGGCGGGCAGAUCACUUGACGUCAGGAGUUCAAGACCAGCCUAGGCAACGUGGCAAAAGUCCUGUUUCUACUGAAAAUACAAAAAUUAGCCCGGCACGGUGGUGCAUGCCUGUAAUCCCAGCUACUCCUGUGGCUGAGGCAUGAGAAUUGCUUGAGCUGGGGAGGUGGAGGUUGUAGUGAGACCCAAGACCGUGCCACUACCCUCCAGCCUGGGCGACAGGAGUGAAACUCUGUCUCAAAAAAAGAAAAAGUAGAUGAUCUUGGCCAGGUGCAGUGGCUCACACCUAUAAUUUCAGCAGUUUGGGAGGCUGAGGUGGGAGGAUUACUUGAAGCCAGGAGAUCGAGACCAGCCUGGGCAACAUAGUGAGAUCCUAUCUCUACAAAAAAAAAUUAUAAAAAUAAAAACGAGAGAAUUGGCCCUCAGGACUGGCCGUCCCGCAUGGAAACAAUCAUCUACUGUGGAGUCACAGUUGCCACUGCCGGUCCGGUCCAGGCCGUGCAGUUUGCCACAGUCCCCACCAUUCCCUAUUGUCUUACCUCUCAGCUACUGUCUUUACUCUCAGAUACUCAGGUGUCUGCCCUGCCCCUUGGCUUCUGCACUUAGGAUCCCCAGCCCAGCCUUCUGGGUUUAAUUUUACAGUAUUCUGCCUGGCCAGGGAGCGGGAACUUACUGCCUCCCACCUCUUUCUGGAGUUUGCUGUCUGAACACUCUGGCUAGAAUUGGAGGACAUCUGCCACUCUGCCUUUCUGCCACACUUUUACAAUUUAAUGUAAUUUAAUUUAAUUUUGAGACAAUGUCUUGUGAGGGAUCUGUGGGGAUCUCUCCCAUGUGAGGCCCCUGGGAAAUGGGCCUCGCCAUACGGUGAGCUUGAGCCUGGACACAGAUCCCUGGUUGGGGGAGUCGAGCUGAGGGAAAGCAGGAACCGAGAGAGGGACUAUGUUAUUCAAAAUAGUUAACAGACAUUACUUUAUGAAUAUGAGGACUUGGGAGGCAUUGUGUCUACUUUUGGCUCCUUAUGGUUUAUUGUCUCAUUGUGUUCAUUUUGGACCAGUGUUACCUUCAUUGCAAUAUAUUAACUUAAAUAUUUACACUUGGUAACUUACUUACCGUAACUUACAGGGCGUAACUGUAACUUAUUUACCUUAAUUUACAGGGCGUAACUGUAACUUAUUUACCAUAGCUUGCAGGGCGUGAUUGUAAUUUACUUACUUUGACCUAUUGGGCGUAACGUACUUAAUGGGAUUAACUUACUUACUGGGCGUAACUUGCUUACUGUAAUUUAAGUAUGUUGAUCUGGCGUAAACAACUUUAACUUCAGAAAAGUAUAUAAUGAAACACAUUGCAAAAAUAAAAUUGCUGCAUGAGCAUAGCGCAUGUAGCCCUCCAGACCUUGCCUUUUCUAUCUCCUUUUUUUCUGGCACACGCUCUCUUGCAGGUUUGGGACCCUCUCGCUGGACGAGAUUCCCGGGCUCGCGUUCAGUUCACAACAGUCUUGCUCUGUCACUGAGGCUGGAGUGCAGUGGUGCGAUCAUAGCUCACUGCAACCUCCAUCUCCCAGGCUCAGGUGAUCCUCCCACCUUAGCCUCCCAAGUAGUUGGGACUAUGAAUACACACCACCACACCUGGCUUUUAAAAAAAUUUUUAGUAGAGAUGAGGUCUCACUAUUUUGCCCAGGUUGGUCUCAAAUUCCUGGCUUUAAGCAGUCCUCCUGCCUCGACCUCCC